GAUCCUGGCUCAGGACGAACGCUGGCGGCGUGCCUAACACAUGCAAGUCGAACGGAAGCAAAGAUUUCGGUUUUUGCUUUAGUGGCGAACGGGUGAGUAACGCGUGAGGAACCUGCCUUUCAGUGGGGGGACAACAGUUGGAAACGACUGCUAAUACCGCAUAAUGCUUUUGGAUCGCAUGAUUUAAAAGCCAAAGAUUUAUUGCUGAAAGAUGGCCUCGCGUCUGAUUAGCUGGUUGGUGGGGUAACGGCU
rnacentral:rRNA from 1 species